rnacentral:lncRNA from 1 species
UCUAAACAUAUCUGGAUCUCGAGGAGAGGUCUCUGCUACUGCUUCAAAUUUUCUUGUAAGCUCAAGUAGAAAUACAUGUGUCAGGAGUAAUCCCUCUGAAACUGUAAGCCCAGCUGCCUUUUCUGCGGGAACUGUUGUCAGGCGACCUGUCCCUCCACCGCACUCUAACUUAUCAAGACUUGUACCAUCAGAUCAUCAUGGACAAUCCCUAGGAAAUAUCUUCUCACGGAACCCAAAUCCUCCUGCACCUGUUUCAAGGAAUAUGCUACCACCAUUUCAGUGGACUGAGAGCUCACUAGCGGGUGAAUCAUUCAACUCCACCGUGCCCACUGAGAGAAAUAAUCUUCAUCUAGAAGACACCAGGUCAAGAAGCAUAACAGCAGCGAGUGUUCUAGAGAAUCCCUUGUUUAAUCCAGCUCCUGACCUCAGCAGAAAUGCUAACCUGAGUAUUGCAUCAUCAUCAUCAGUGUCCAGGACAGGCUCAAGCACAGGUGUUCAAGCACCAUCUUCUAAUCUAGCGUGGACGCCUCACCGGAAUUUACCACCUCACCAAAGAAGAAGAUCGGAACUUGCCCAUAGGUCAUUGAUUUCUUCCCUUUCUGCAGAUGCGAGAUCUGGUGAUCAUCAUCCACCACUUCGUUCGUUGGCUCCUCCUGCCCCUCAGGAUGGGCUUGUGCUUCAGCCUGGUGGUGGUGAUAGUAGCCGGGCAUACUCGAGAGCAGGUCUGUGGCUUGAUAGACAAGUGGAUAGUUUGGUUGGGGCUCCUCAAUCUUUAAGGGCUUUGGCAGCUGCAAGCAGAGGAAGAAACAGACUUAUGGUAUCCCAGGUCAGUUCAUACAAGUUCGGUUAACCUUGAUGGUUUUUGUUAGACUGACAGUGAGUCUCUUUGAAACAGAUGCAGAAUAUCUUGGAAGUGAUGCGGAGGGAUCCGAAUCAUAACUUGCGGCUUGAGGUUAGUUUCUCCUUGGGGCGGGCUCAGUAGAAUAAACAGUGUUCUAAAAUUACAAGUGAACUUGUCUUCUCUCUGUCUCUGUUGAACUUUAAAAAGUAAUGUGAAUUGCUUGAUUGUCCAGGACGUUAUGCUUCUGAAACCUUAAUUAAAAAAUUAGUAAACAAAAAUAAUGGUAAUUAUAUAUGAUAUUUUUAAUUAAAUAAAAGUGCUUUGUAAUUUUAUUUUGUAAAAAUUAACUAAAAACGACACAUAGGAAAACCUAAGUAUCAAUAUUUACUUGUUCUUGGUACUGAAAACGUUGGUGAGGAACUGAGGAUGUAUGUGGAAUCACUGGAGAAGAAGAUGCCUAAGUCAAUUAGUGGUCAUGAAAUAUAUUGAGUGGUUGUCGACUGGGUUGUGUUAACAAACACAUAGAAAACUUAAUUAAUGGGCCUUCGAGUGAAUAUAUUUUUUUGUUCUUAGUGGCAAGAAUAUUUUGUUGAAGUAUCAAUAUUUGAUUGGCCUGACUUUUCUUUAAUUGUUACUAUCUAAGUUCCAAUUUUUGAUAUUUUUAUAUAACAGAAAUUACAAAAGUCUGUAUUGUGAGUUUCAACUAUUCACAUCCAUAGGACCAUAUAACAUGAUGUUUCACGGACUAAACAUUACCAACAUAUUUAUUUUACUAUAUACUUUGCUAUAUAUAUAUUUAUCAAACAUUUUUAUAUUCCAAAAUAAAAGAGCGAAAUUACAUUUAUUUUCAUAAUUAAAAAAUAUUGCGUAUGAAAUAUGUUUUAGUAUUUACAUAAUUUCAAACACAAAAAAAUUACUUCUAUAGUUUUCAUUAAUUGUGUUUGGGUUUAUAGAAUUAAAACCAAAAAUUCAUUAUGAUUUUUUCCAUAAAUGAAAUAAAAAUAUGCAUGACCAGAAUGAAAUUGCCACUUGAAGUUGUUUCUUUUUUUUUUUUUUGAAACACGGAAUUGUGUCUAAAAAAUCAAGUUAUGUAGGGGGUGUGAACCUGAUCAUUUGUAUUUUAGGCUAAAAAAAAUUAUAUAAAGAAUAAAUAAAAUUGAUUGCGAAUUAUUUAUAACAUGAUACACUUUCUACAAAACGUUUUUUUUAUAGAUUUUGUUUUUUAAUUUUAAAUUCAUAAGCUGAUAAUCAGUGCCGGUCAUAAAAAUUUAAGACCAAGUUUGUAAACUUGAGAUUUUACCAUUAGACCUAAAAAAACGAUUGAAAAUAUGUGGCCGAAAAUAUAUUUAUUGUGAAGCGGCCAAAAACCACUGAUUUCUUUGUUUAAGUCCAAGGGCCGGCUCUGCUGAUAAUCUCUGGGAGUAGAAAAUUUAAGUAAAUAAUAUUUCUAAUGAACAAAUGUCAUCUUGUGUUUAUUUUUAGUUGAGAAUCUAAUGAAAUUAAAGAAAAAAGAAAGGCAAGGAUAUGAAAAGAUAAGCAAUCAGAAAGCACACCAAAUGACCAAAGUUACAUGGUAACAAAAGGAAAGAAACCAAAUCUGUUGGUUUAGUUUGGUUCGGUUUAGUUAAAUUCAAAAAACAAAGAGAGGAAAAUUGAAAAACGAGGGACGUGUGAAGAAGCAAAGGCUAAGAACUUGCCAGCUUGCUGCUGUCUCCUCUUCAAACAAUUUAAUUUAUAGUAUAAAAAAAUUUUUAAUAAGUUUUUUUGUUGGUAUUCGUUGAUUAAGGCUAAGCUUAUUGAAUUCUCCUCUUUGGAAACUGCUCUUAUGACUGACCAUUUUGCUUUCUUUCUUUCUUUAUUUUUCCUUUUCAUAAAAAAAUAUACAUUUUUAAGUUUUCCUAACGUGAAUUAAAACAUUGCCGUCUCUUCCUCUGCCUAAUAAUCAAUCCUCCCUUCCUCUUCUCUCUCUGCAACAAAGCGGUACGUUCUCUCUCUCUCUUCCUCAAGUUUUGUUCUUUCUUCUCAUCCCAAGAUUAAUUUAGAUCGGUUAUGUUUUUCUAUUUUCUUUUUAUUGUUGGGUUUUGAUUUUGUCAUAUCUGGGACUUAUCAUUCGGAAUUGAGAAGAAUCUCUGUUGAAACCGAUUGUUCUAAAGUUGGCUCCUUUAUGUAUAGAUCUCUAAUCAACUUUUGUUUGUUUUGAUAGAAAGCUCUCUUCUUUACCCUUUAUUGAUGAUAUCUUCAUCUUCUGAUUCUGUCUUGUGGGUUGUUUGCCUGACCGACCGACCACCAUGCCUUUAUCUUCCUUCAAGCUGUUUGCUAGCUCUUGGGACUUUGUGACACUUAACUUCCUUUGCUUGUUGUUUUGUCAACCUCUGUCUCUAGGUGUCAAAUUGAUACUUCAUUCACCUCUUAUGAAGUCAUAUGUCAUCUGUUAUGAAUUGUGUUUUACUUGGCCAACUAAUCUAUGAGUCAGUGAGUUGUUUUAAGCUAUUGUGUGAUUUUAUUUGUAAUUACAGUUCUAGGAACUAUGUUUUCAUUGAGAGCAUUUGAGUGUGUUUAUGAGUUUCUUCCUUUUUCAUUCACAAUUUAACUUUUCUUUGUUACUGAAUGAUUUAUACUGUCUUUGUUCUUUUUUUCAGUCUCCACGUUAGGCAGGCACAUUGCUAGAGGAGCAAAGAAAGUCUCGCGAGUCCUCCUCUUCUCCCAAGUGUAACUGUGGUUAAACUUUAGCCGAGAUGCAGGGAGAGAGGGCCAGUCUCGGCUAUUUAUCAGAGGGCUUAAACUUUGAGCAUGGUUCCACCUCCAGUAAUGGUUUGAUGGAUCACUGGGACGGUCUUGGUGAUAACGACUUGCAGGACUACAUGAUUGCAAAUUCUGAAUCUCUCGCUCACUCGGUUUACCCUGAACAACAUAGGUUUAGCCUCGGCGAGGAGGCUAGCUCUAGUGGCACGAAGAAUGAAGCUUCCGGUCACAAUGAGCAACUAAGAAAUGAAAUAAUUGAUUUAGACUCAGAUUCUGAACAACCUUCUGGGGACAAUCAGAAUGUCAACCUGAAUGCAGAAUAUAUUGAACUUGACGAGGAUAUUGAUGUGGUUGAAGCUAACGGAUCAGGGAACAGGGCUUCACAACCUGGCAGACCUUUCCAAGAGACUAGUGUUAGAACAGGUUCUUCUGUUGAUGCAUCCUGCAAGAGGAAGGCUAUUGAAGGCAGUAGUAGUGGUCAGUCUUCUUUAGGUGGUUACCAUCACGGAGAAAGCAGCAGUUCGUGGACCCCAGUUUCUACCGAGUAUAGGUCAGUAAAUGGUCUAAACAUAUCUGGAUCUCGAGGAGAGGUCUCUGCUACUGCUUCAAAUUUUCUUGUAAGCUCAAGUAGAAAUACAUGUGUCAGGAGUAAUCCCUCUGAAACUGUAAGCCCAGCUGCCUUUUCUGCGGGAACUGUUGUCAGGCGACCUGUCCCUCCACCGCACUCUAACUUAUCAAGACUUGUACCAUCAGAUCAUCAUGGACAAUCCCUAGGAAAUAUCUUCUCACGGAACCCAAAUCCUCCUGCACCUGUUUCAAGGAAUAUGCUACCACCAUUUCAGUGGACUGAGAGCUCACUAGCGGGUGAAUCAUUCAACUCCACCGUGCCCACUGAGAGAAAUAAUCUUCAUCUAGAAGACACCAGGUCAAGAAGCAUAACAGCAGCGAGUGUUCUAGAGAAUCCCUUGUUUAAUCCAGCUCCUGACCUCAGCAGAAAUGCUAAC